UUGUAGAAUGAUUACAUACAGAAAUAUUUUCCAAGAAUAGAAAAUUGAUUUUCAGCUAAUCUAAAAUCUAUGUUAAUGUUAUUUCUAAAGAGUUCUAAGUAAAAAUAAGAAAGCUUUGUGUAAAGGUGGCCCCAGUGAAGUUAUGUAUGCUGAAAUAUAAGAUAAUUAGGAUAUUGAACAUUUUUCACAAUCAAUAAUUACCUUCCAAUAGUUGCAUGCUGUGUAAGAAUUCAGAUAGUAAUUGUUUUACAUGUGGACAGUCUUUUCAGUGGAUGUCUUAAAUCCAGCAAUUUCUGUCAAUUCACACAUGAAAUCUAUCAAUCAGGAAUUGAUCUAGUUUUCUCCUAGGAGUUCUUUAUUGAUUAGCAUAAUUUUGGUCUAUGGAGGACCUAUGCAGUUUAUGAGCAAAAAUUGAUUUCUCUGUGUCACUUCUUUUGGUCCAUCUCUUCUUGUUAAAUUUCAGGGCACAUGGCAAAACUUUGAAAAAAAAAAUUGUGUUUAAAUUUACAGUUAAAAAAAAUUGAGAGUAAACUUUUUUGGACACUAUAGAUGUGGGUGUUAAGGAGACUUUAAUAUUCCUCCAGUAUUGGAAUUCUGUUCCCCCAGUAUUGGAAUUCUGUGCUGGUCCUAUCAAUUCGGGCAGUGGCAAGAUCAUUUCCAUGGAGCAUUCACAGUUGUAACAAGGUUUACAGUUGCUUUUCCUUUUCCUUGGACCAUAACAAGAAUACACACAGAAGCAUCAUGGAGACAUAAAAAUUCAGAUCCCUGCAGAAAGACUGCAUAAGGUGAAUUCCUCCAUAGCCUACUGGACUUGGCC